rnacentral:RNase_P_RNA from 2 species
CCAGGGGGCCGGGCAGCCGCGUGACUUCGGUCACGAGGAAAGUCCGGGCUCCACGAAACAAGGGUGGCGGGUAACGCCCGCCGGACGCGAGUCCAGGGAAAGUGCCACAGAGAGCAUACCGCCGAUGGCCCCCUCGGGGGAUCAGGCAAGGGUGAAAGGGUGCGGUAAGAGCGCACCGGGGCUUCGGCAACGCAGCCCGCAUGGCAAACCCCACCCGGAGCAAGGCCGAAUAGGGGCGGCACGCUCGCGCAAGCGGGCAGGUGCGUUUCGCAUCGACCGCCCGGGUUGGCUGCUGGAGCUCUGGAGCAAUCCAGAGCCUAGACGAAUGGCUGCCUCCGCGUAGCUGGUGUGCAAGCAUACCGUGCGCGGGACAGAACCCGGCUUACAGGCCCCCUGGCAAU